rnacentral:rRNA from 1 species
CAUUCACGGAGAGUUUGAUCCUGGCUCAGGACGAACGCUGGCGGCGUGCUUAACACAUGCAAGUCGAACGAUGAAGCCUUUCGGGGUGGAUUAGUGGCGAACGGGUGAGUAA